rnacentral:lncRNA from 1 species
AUGAUGAAUAAUAGUUGGCGCUUAAACAAGCCAGGUGAAGCUUGGAGUGAAAGCGGGUCAAACGAGUCAAGCAUAGAAGAAAAGCGUAGCUCGAAUGCAAGGAGUGAAUAGAAAUUUUGGGAUAAUUGCGACGCUAUAGAAUAUUGGUUAAUAAAUGCGAGGUGUGAACGGGUUUAUACGUUGAUCCGAGCCAGGUGAAUGUCGAGAGUCCCGGAUGAAGAUCAAGCGUCGAGCAAGAACCGAACACACAUUAUACAAAGCUUCCGCAACGUUGUUUUGUCGUUAUUCUAAACGGCGAAUUAAAUCACACUAUGUUUUUCACUUAAAUUGUAUAAGUUUUUAACAAACCCGUAUU